rnacentral:rRNA from 1 species
GGACCCGCACAAGUAGUGGAGCAUGUGGUUUAAUUCGAAGAUACGCGCAGAACCUUACCAACACUUGACAUGUUCGUCGCGACUCUAAGAGAUUAGAGUUUUCGGUUCGGCCGGACGAAACACAGGUGCUGCAUGGCUGUCGUCAGCUCGUGUCGUGAGAUGUUGGGUUAAGUCCCGCAACGAGCGCAACCCUCACUUUUAGUUGCCAUCAUUAAGUUGGGCACUCUGAAAGAACUGCCAGUGAUAAGCUGGAGGAAGGUGGGGAUGACGUCAAGUCCUCAUGGCCCUUACGUGUUGGCUACACACGUGCUACAAUGGUGGGGACAACAGGUUGCCAACCCCGCCGAGGGUGAGCC